GACGAACGCUGGCGGCGUGCUUAACACAUGCAAGUCGUACGGUAAGGCCCUUUCGGGGGUACACGAGUGGCGAACGGGUGAGUAACACGUGAGUAACCUGCCCUCAACUUUGGGAUAACGCUAGGAAACUGGUGCUAAUACUGGAUAUGUGCUCCUGCUGCAUGGUGGGGGUUGGAAAGCUCCGGCGGUUGUGGAUGGACUCGCGGCCUAUCAGCUUGUUGGUGGGGUAGUGGCCUACCAAGGCGGCGACGGGUAGCCGGCCUGAGAGGGUGACCGGCCACAUUGGGACUGAGAUACGGCCCAGACUCCUACGGGAGGCAGCAGUGGGGAAUAUUGCACAAUGGGCGCAAGCCUGAUGCAGCAACGCCGCGUGCGGGAUGACGGCCUUCGGGUUGAAAACCGCUUUCAGCAGGGACGAAGCUUUUUGUGACGGUACCUGCAGAAGAAGCACCGGCUAACUACGUG
rnacentral:rRNA from 1 species